ensembl:lncRNA
GCCGCGGAGGAGGGCGCAGUCCCGGCCCCCGGCCAGACAUGCUGCUUGGACUGCGCCUGCGCCCGGGGAGGGAGGGUGUUGUCUACAGCGUCAGUCACCGCGUCCCCAGGCAGUCUCAGCCCGCACGGGCCGCCCCCCAAGACUCUCAGUCCCGGCACAGUCACUGGCAGAUCUGCGACGGGCACCACCUGCUCCAGCGGCAGCAGCCGGCCCUCUACCGGGACGAGCCCCAGGCGCCCGGGAGGGCAGCCAGCCUCGGAGUGCCCCUCCUGCCCCUCAGCCUCAGCCUUCUGACCUUCCCACAGGCCAUCCUGCGUGUCUCGGUCACUCGGUGUUUUUGGCUUGGCUUUGUGAUCUGUACCUGCCAUGGAGAACAUCAGUAAACACGAGUCACAAUCAAGAUCUCUGGCGAAAGGCCUGGGGUGGGAGGAGCCUGCGAUGGGAGCUGUUUCCCAGAGAUUCAGCCCACCUUGCCUUGCAAGCGCAAGGUUCCAAGUUCGAUCCCCGGUACCAAAAAAAAAAAAAAAAAAUCCACCCCUUUACAGUACAGGAGCAGAGCCGCUGUGCGUCAGGACGCUGGUGCCCCCAACAGAACCACAGUGCGGUGCCCAGGAGACAGGGUCUUGCUGUGUAGCCCAGGCUGGCCCCGAACUCACAAUGAUCCUCCUGCCAGGGCCUCCAAGGUGCUGGGACUACAGCCACGAACCACCGUGCCUGCCCACAGAUGGCAGGAGAGGUGUGUGAAGUCUGCGUGGGGUGUACAUACAGUUGACACCAACUAAACUGGCUCUGUGUUAUCAGGCGUUGUCAUCUUAUGGGGCCACGAUCGCCUUUGUGGUCUGUUGUGAACCAAAACAUCAGUGCGUGCAUGUCCUGGGGCUGCAGCGACAGAGCCCCAAAGACUGGGGCUUAAAAUCUACCGUCUCGGAUUAGAAGGCUGGAAGUUUGAAUUGAAGGUGUCAGCAGGGCCACUCACCUUCUGAAACCCACAGGGGAAUCUGAUCCGUGUCCUUCUCAGCAGUGGUGUGACUAGCGUCCUCAGUGUCCCUUGGCUGCAUCACUACAGUCGCUGCCCCCCACCUUCAUGUGGCUGCACGGUGAAUGGGUGCCUGUGUCUCCCUCUUCUCAUAAGGACCCUCAGUGGAUUAGGGCCUCCUCCUUCCAGCAUGAGAGGCUUAACUUGACCACAGUGAUGAAGGCCCUGUUUCCAAAUGAGAUCCCAGGCACAGGUUCAGGGGCUGGGACUUGAGCAGAGCUUUUUCGGGGGGAUGAAACUUCCCUAGUCACUGAUAUACGAUAUCUGACACCCACAACUAAAGGAGGAGAGGCUUAUUUUGGCUUAGAAGUUUUAGUCCUCCGUGGUUGGCCAGCUCCAAGGCAGGGCAGUGCAGCACAAGGGUCUGGUGGAGGAGAGCUGCUCAAGUGUGAUGGACAGGAUGCAGAGAGUGAAGGGAGGGGCCAUGCAGGGAGCUGGAGCCUCCCUGGUCACCGCCCCCAUGACUACCACUUCCACAGGCCCCGCCUCCUAACAGCAGUCAACUGUAAUGCCCCACAUCUGAUCACCUUCUCAAGGUCGUUCCUGUAGCCCAUGAGGCUUUGAGGGGCAUCCAGAUGCAGACCACAACCCAACUCAACCCACAGUGGAGAAAAUGAAGCAAUGCCAGGGCACAGGGGAGCAGAACGUGGGGAGUUCUGAACAUCUGUAGUGUGGCUGGGGCACAGCAGUGGCAACUCAUGUUGGUGAUCUUCGGGUCUAGCACACGAGUGGCUCAUUGUCUUAGUUACUUUUCUCGUGGCUGGAAAAAAAUAGCUGACACCCCAAGUUAAAUGGGGAGAGGUUUAUUUAGCUUACAGUUUAUAGGGAUUUCAGUCUACAGUUGUCUGGCUCCAAAGCAGGGUGGCAUGGCAGAGGGGCAUCAGAGGAGAAACAGCAAGGGAAGCCAGCAAGCCACAAGUGACAAAAGCAGCUUCUUCUGCCCCUUUUAUGUUCUAUCUAGGCUACCCGGCUCAGGGUGGGUGCCAAACCGAUCAUUGGACUGGUUUAUUUAUUUAGACUGAUUUAUAGUUAUGCACCCUUAAUCCCAGCGUCACACACUCUAGAUCCAGCCACCUCUGAAAAAGCCCCACCCAUGACUCCAUAGGCUUUUGGGGGACGUCUAGGCACAGCCAUGACACCCAUCUUCUGAUCAACCGCUCUCUGCCACCUGCUCCUGCCUUGCGUUCUUUUUGCUCAAUCUCUUUGAAGCUCAGAUGAAAACACCUAAGAGCUUCACCCAUUCACCAAGACCCCGAGCGCCAACCCCUGUCCCUUUUGGUGCCCUGGAUGCUGGUCUGGCUUGGCAGGGGUAGGGCUAUUUUCAGCCUGGGCUUCAGCUGAAAAGCUGACACAUUUCCAUGAACACUGCCUCAUAAAAGCUGGAAAUAUAUUGAGCAAAGGAUUCCAUUUCCUGUCCUCCGGCAGCAGGAGUGUGUACCAGGCUUUCAUUUGUGGCCAAGCACUCCGGGGAGGUAACACUGCAAACCAUUUUUCUGCAUAAAUGUUUGCACUGUCUAAUUCUCCUUUGGUGCAAAGUGUUGCGUGGACACAGGAAAAAAGGCAGAAGCAAGGCUGGCCUAGCUGCAUGAAGCGAGGGAUCACAAAACUGACAGAGGGCAUCUCGAGAGGGGUGUUAUGUGAAGGGAGCUGUGGCUACUCUGGAUGUCCUGGUGGGGUCCUCUCCCCACUCUGGAGCUGUGAACCAGGCUCCCCAGGCCAGCCACAGGGGGGCAAAGAGUUCUGCACAUGCAUCUCAUUUCCCGUGCUUCUGGUUGCGAGUAAGUUAGAUCAUCUUUCUCUUGGUAGUGUUUCCCUGCUCAGGGACUGUGAACUAGCUCUCAGGUGUUUGAGGUUCUGAAUGGACCAGGAGAUAUUUUAUUUUUCAAAACUUAAUUGACCAUUUAAAAAGAAGUUUAUUUUUAUUAGUACAAGUUUACCGCACGACACGAUUAUACUCAUGAGGAGCUGCCCAUGUGCGGAACACAUCUUCACUCUUUUUUCACCCCCUUUCUCUCCUCUCCCUUCCCUGCCCUCUAUCUCUUGGUCCAGUUUGUGAUUUGCAGGAAAAUCGGGCAGUGAGUACAGAGAUCCUCUGGACAUGCACAGUGUCCCUGGGCACCUGUGACCUGUGAGGACCGGCACCGCCCAUGGGCACUUCCCGAGGGCCACGGUUUCCGGCCUCUCUCCUGUGUCCCGACUGCGUCCUGACCCACGCCCACCCCACAGUGCCCACUGACAGUGCCCCUCCAGUCCUGUCGCCCGCUCAUCCCUCCUACCACGAAUGCAGCGUCCUGACAUCUGGGCUUUUCCAGAACGGCAUAGGGUUGGACCACAGUACACAGCCCUGCAGACCGGCUGCUUUCGUACGCAUUCUUGCUGAAGGCUCCUCUGUGUCUCCUGGGAAACAUUUUAUGGGAGCAAAGCAUGUGUGCAGAAGAUGCAUGAUUACAUGUGCGGGGUCCCGGACUGCCAGGCUCGGGGCUCCGGGGCUCCGGGGUAGCCGGCCCCCAGCCGGAAGCCACUGUGGCCAGUACUGGGAGUCCCGUGUUCACUGCCAGACCCUGCCCUGCUUGCCGGAGGCCACCCUGCUCCCCACGCCUGAGUCCACAGUGGGGACGUCCGUGGCCAGUCUGUGGCCGGUGUCCCGCACUCAGCACUGUGCUGCGUGGCCGGGAGUGGUGUCCCGUGGUAGGAAGGGCCUCUGCUCGUGGUCUUAGCCCCAGCCUCCUUGGUGAAGUACGGGCGGCUGCAUGGAUCACUCCGGCCUUUGGUCCAAGUUCUCUGUUGGCCCUGGCUCCUGAGUGGCCACGCUGCCUCUGAACCCUGGCAUGGGGACUGAGUCUGCUGGACUGGAGCAGGAGAAACGCAACCACAGAGCCCAAGGAUUCAGAAUCUGCCAGAUUACGAAGGGCCCAAUCUCAAUAGUUUUUGCCUAAACUUACACUUAGAUUAAUUUUAGUGAAUAUCCCAUUGGUAAUUAAACGUAUCCAUUUAUAUAUUUAUUUAUUUAUUCUUUCUGUCAUUUUUAAUUUUUAUUUAUUUAUUUAUUUUUGGUACUGGAGAUCGAGCUCAGGUCCUUGUGCUUGCGCAGCAGGUGGAGAAACCACUGAGCUAAAUCCCCGGCCCUUUCUGUCAUUCUUUAUUAGCACGUUUGCAGUACAUACAGUCAUAUCGAUCGUGGGGAGUCGGUGUGUUUCUGUAACACUUCUUAAUUCUUUCUUCCUCCUCGUCCCCCCACCUCUUGGUCCCCUUCCCUUUUGGAAAUGAUCCCUCUGCCUGUUUUCUAUCACCUGUCUUUUGUUUUUCUCUUUAAUUUAUUUAUACUCUGGGUUUCUCAUAGAAGAGAAACCAUGUGAUAUUUAAGCUUGUGUGUCUGAUUUAUUUCACUUAACAUUAUGGUCUCAAGGUGCACCCAUGUUCCUAUAAAUGACUCAAGUUUAUCUUUCUUUAUGGCAGAGUAUUACCCCACUGUGUGUAAAUGCCACAUUUUAUUUAUUCAUUCUGUUCAUGGGCAUAUAGGCCACUUCCAAGAUUUAGCUGUUGUGAGUUUUAUUGCUGUAAACCUGGGUGUGCAUGGAUCCCUGCAGUAUGAUGUCUUUAACUCUCUCGGAAGGGGGAGUAGCUGGGUCAAUGGAAGUUCUAGAUCAUCUGCUCCAUUAAGUGUAAUCUGAGUGGUAUUCUCUGCAUGCAGUCAGUGGUUACUUAGUGAGAUGUGCCCACACUGGCUGGGGGGGGCCCUGGGGGCAGAGCCUUGCUGUUAGGUUUCCGUAGGGGCAUGAGUUGCUGCCAUCCCCGAAUGUGCAUGGUGUGCAGAGCCCGUGCCCAGGCCCAGUGUGCAUUUGCUGAGCUUGGUCCCUGUCCCUGAUGGUCUCAUUUUACGGAUGUGGAAGAAGGGGGCAGCUGAAGCAGUGAGCUCUGCUACAUAGUAGUCUGCUUGUCGCUGUGACAGAGCACCAAGGAAAUCGGUGUGAGGGAGAGAGGGUCUUUCUGGUUGGUUGGCUCUGUCCCUCUUAGGCUGGGUGAGGUCACAGUAUCACAGUGAACGGGCCCAGAGUUGCAGGGCACCGAGGGCCGCCUGGGGACAGUGCCUGUUUCACUGCUGCAUUGUGGAGGGGCAGGCCGUGUUCAUCCUGGACAGGUUCCGGUGCAGAAGAGUGGUUCUGUCUGCCAGGCCAGGGCAGCAGAUGCCACUGGGUGUUGGCCACGACUGAGUCCUCUUGCUCAUGCUGGUCCUGCGUCCCCUUCCUCCAGGAUCCCAUCUGGGGGUGACUCCUGAAGCCCCAGGUGCAGGGGACAUUUCCCGACCCACCUCCCCGGUGGGGCCUCUCAGACGGAACGUAUCGGAAGCCCAGCUGCUCCAGCCUCCUCCUUGCCAAAGUGAUUUUAGAUAUGUUACGACUGACAAACAGCACAACCCAGUUCAGAGGGAAAAAUCUCCCCUCUAUUGGAAUAGAGGAAAUUGGGGAGGAGGUAGGUUUUAUUUUUCACUGUUACUUUUGAAAUGAUUAUAGAUUCACAGGAAGUUGCAAAAGUUGUACGCAGGGUCUCCCAGGUCCUCCUCCAGCUCCCUGCAAUGGCGACAUUUUACUUAGCAGCAGUAAAACAGCAAGACCAGGAAAUUGACAUCAGAAUGAGACUCCAGGCCUUGCUCGGAUUUCGCCUGUGUGCGCACGUGCACGUGUGUGUGUUUCUGUGCACGUGAUCUCUUGCAGAGGCUCACGUUACCGCUGCCACCAUCAGGACACUGGGCAGCUUCACUGCCAGAAACCAGCUUCCUGGCGCCCCCGGGAGGGGACCUGCAAACCAUGAGUGGACAAGACGCGCUGUGCGCACUCACUGUACGGCCCCGACUUCUGGAGUGAGUGUACACUGCGGAACAGCUGCGUCAAGCUGAGGGGCGAUGCUGUUUGUGCACUGUGAGGACACCCCAGAUUGGCUCCCUUUGCAGUCUCGAAGUGGUUACGCACUUGGUCACUACCGUCGCCGCAUCCUGCCACAGACCCCUCGAAGCUGUUUCUCUUGUGUGACUAAAAUUGUGCCCUUGACCGACCAGGCACACCAUGUUUUUAGCAGCACAAUAGCUAAGUCUUGGAAGCAGCCUAUACGUCCAUCAACAGAUGAACGGAUAAAGAAAAUAUGCUAUUUACACACAACGGAGUACUACUCUGCCACAAAGAAGGAUAAACCAAAGUCAUUUGUAGGAACAUGGAUGCACCUUGAGACCAUAAUGUUAAGAGAAAUAAAUCAGACACAGAAGGUUAAAUAUCACAUGGCUUCUCUUAUAUGUGAAACCCUGAGUAUAAAUAAAGAGCAAAAUAAGAGAUAGAUCAUAGGUAACAGGGAGAUGGAUGUUUUGGAAAUAGGAAGGGAG